rnacentral:rRNA from 1 species
UACGUAGGGGGCAAGCGUUGUCCGGAAUCACUGGGCGUAAAGGGCGCGUAGGCGGCUCAUGAAGGCUGUGGUGAAAGUCCGGGGCUCAACCUCGGAUCGGCCGUGGCGACUCGUGGGCUGGAGCACUGUAGAGGCGGGUGGGAUUCCGGGUGUAGCGGUGGAAUGCGUAGAGAUCCGGAAGAACACCAGUGGCGAAGGCGGCCCGCUGGGCAGUGGCUGACGCUGAGGCGCGACAGCGUGGGGAGCAAACAGG